rnacentral:rRNA from 1 species
AUUGAACGCUGGCGGCAGGCCUAACACAUGCAAGUCGAGCGGAUGAAGGGAGCUUGCUCCUGGAUUCAGCGGCGGACGGGUGAGUAAUGCCUAGGAAUCUGCCUGGUAGUGGGGGAUAACGUCCGGAAACGGGCGCUAAUACCGCAUACGUCCUGAGGGAGAAAGUGGGGGAUCUUCGGACCUCACGCUAUCAGAUGAGCCUAGGUCGGAUUAGCUAGUUGGUGGGGUAAAGGCCUACCAAGGCGACGAUCCGUAACUGGCCUGAGAGGAUGAUCAGUCACACUGGAACUGAGACACGGUCCAGACUCCUACGGGAGGCAGCAGUGGGGAAUAUUGCACAAUGGGCGAAAGCCUGAUCCAGCCAUGCCGCGUGUGUGAAGAAGGUCUUCGGAUUGUAAAGCACUUUAAGUUGGGAGGAAGGGCAGUAAGUUAAUACCUUGCUGUUUUGACGUUACCAACAGAAUAAGCACCGGCUAACUUCGUG